rnacentral:rRNA from 1 species
UAUUAUGAGAGUUUGAUCCUGGCUCAGGACGAACGCUGGCGGCGUGCCUAAUACAUGCAAGUCGAACGCUUCUUUUUUUAAACCUUCGGGUUUGUUAAAAG